GCACUAAUUAUAUUUCAUCGUGAAACAAACAAGUUGGGGAUUCAGUUAUUUAGACAUUUUCACAUGUAGCUAUUAGUUUUAUUUUAUCUAAAUAGUGGUCACUUUUAUUGAUGUUUUGUAAUUUGAAUAGCGACGUUAUGAGGCUAAUGUUUAUUUUAAGUUAUUCAAGGUACAUUUGUAUUUGUUGUUAACUCAUAUGCGUGUAUUAUAUGUAUGUUGUAGAAGUGGCUGUAUGUGUUCACCUGUUUGAACUAAGUGUAGUUGCUGAUGCGCCAAUACUGCUGUUUAUUUUUGUAAUUACGGUCUUUAUAAGGGUUUUUGUUUUUCUAAGAUUUGACCUUGUGACUUGUUUAACACGCACGUGACAUUGCAAUUGUCAAGAUAAACUUUCUGAUUUUUUCUUCAAGCUUAAGUCAUAAAUGUUGACUCUAUAGAGUCGUUUAAUACCUCUGUUUAACAAUUGUAAGCGAUGAACCAGUUUUUGGACUUUGGACGCACGUGAACCAGAUUCUGACAAGGCCUAAACAUUGUCAAUGUGAACAUUCUGAAUAAGUUAAAUCAAGGUUGAGCUAUAAAAAGGUCAAUUCAUCAAUGGCAGAUACAAAACGAAACCGCGAAUUUCGGUUCUAGUGAUUAUGCUAGCGAGUUGAUGGUCUACGUGUAUCUUAUCUUGUUUAAGCAGAUGCAUAUUUCAAAUGAUCCGUAGUUAAAUUCACGAAAAAGUCAAGCUGCGUGGGUUGCGUUAGUAAGUGACAAACUCAAUUUUUAAGUGAAAAAUUCCUAACGUUUAUCAAAAUGAAUCGCGUGUAGCAUAUUACACGUGAAUUAUAUCAUACACAAACAAAUGGUUUUUCUACCUGCAUCAAGGAGCUGAACAUCAUCCUACAUGAAGGCUACACUGAUCUGCGCUUUCUUGGUCGUCUUCCUGGCCACCUCGUCCGUCUUCGGAACCCCCGUCAACAAUGGCAGAGGAAUGGGUGGCGUCAUGGGCGGUAAGGAAAUGCUGUACGAAUGGGAUGGCGAGAUAGGCGACGAUGGAAUGAUGUACGACUAUGAUGGCACGAGGACCGGUGGACAAAUGGGAGACCGCAACGUAAGGUGUAGGAUGUGGUGCAGAUUCCGCAUGAACGACAGCUGGCGUAUAGUGUGCUGUCUGGGACUCUAGAUACUAGAGCAACACAGAACAAGACGAACAACCCAGAUUACGGAUUGGACUGGAACUCGAUAUCAAUGUAUCACUAUAUAUCAGUAUAUUAUGUGCAGUAACUUGGGGUUGUGUUAUGCUAGCAACAUUUGAUAAAUAUAUGUAUAUUUACUAGAAAUAAAUUGGAAGUUUAGCAAGGUUG